rnacentral:sRNA from 1 species
AUUGACUUUCAAAUAUAAUGAAAAAUCCAGUAAUAACGUCUUUAACAAUGGUUUGAGCACCAAAACCUACUGCUAAACCUACGACACCAGCACU